rnacentral:rRNA from 1 species
GAUGAACGCUGACAGAAUGCUUAACACAUGCAAGUCAUUGGCGAAGCUGCGCUUGCGCAGUCUAGCCAAGGCGGACGGGUGAGUAACGCGUAAGGAACUUGCCCUGCAGACAGGGAUAACAGACGGAAACGACUGAUAACACCUGGUAUUGUCAGGCUGGCGCAUGCCGGCCUGAUGAAAGGAGACACUGCAGGAGAGCCUUGCGUCCUAUUAGCUAGUUGGUGGGGUAACGGCCCACCAAGGCGAUGAUAGGUAGCCGGCCUGAGAGGGUGAACGGCCACAAGGGGACUGAGAUACGGCCCUUACUCCUGCGGGAGGCAGCAGUGGGGAAUAUUGGACAAUGGGGGCAACCCUGAUCCAGCAAUUCUGUGUGCACGAAGAAGGUUUUCGGAUUGUAAAGUGCUUUCAGCAGGGAAGAAGAAAGUGACGGUACCUGCAGAAGAAGCGACGGCUAAAUACGUG